AUGUUGUGUGUUGUCUUUUUGGCAUGAACUACUGGUUUGCAUGUUUGUGUGUGACUUGAUGAUGGUGACUAAAGAAAAAGGGAUAAAAUGUUAUGUGAAUUGGCAAACGGAUAAUGUGAACAGCCUGACUAGGUAUCCUGGGAGAUGGUGGACGGACCGGGUCCGUAGGGAACCCUACCGGGAACGUGGUCUCUCAUACCGGACGGGGUAUGGAGACCUUAUGUGUUUUGGCACCCAUAC
rnacentral:lncRNA from 1 species